rnacentral:rRNA from 1 species
AUUGAACGCUAGCGGGAUGCUUUACACAUGCAAGUCGAACGGAGUGGCGGACGGGUGAGUAAUAUAUCGGAACGUGCCCAGUAGGGGGGGAUAACUACUAGAAAGAGUGGAUAAUACCGCAUACUAUUAGAGCCGCCGAUAUCGGAUUAGCUAGUUGGUGGGGUAACGGAUCACCAAGGCAACGAUCCAUAGCUGGUUUGAGAGGACGACCAUACACACGGGGACUGAGACACGUCCCAGACUCCUACGGGAGGCAGAAGUGGGGAAUUUUGGACAUGGGGCGAAACCCGGAUCCAGCCAGCCCGCGUGUAUGAUGAAGGCCUGCGGGUUGUAAAGUACUUUUGGCAGGGAAGCGGUAUCUGCAGAAUAAGCACCGGCUAACUACGUGCCAGCAGCCGCGGUAAUAC